GUCAGGAUGGCCGAGCGUUCUAAGACGCCAGACUCAAGGAAUACCUUUUCAGUAUGACUGGGUGCGAGAGUUCUGGUCCACGAUUGUGGGCGUGGGUUCGAGUCACACUUCUGACA
rfam:Stegodyphus mimosarum contig2815, whole genome shotgun sequence.